CCUGGCUCAGGAUGAACGCUAGCGACAGGCUUAACACAUGCAAGUCGAGGGGCAGCGGGGGUAGCAAUACCCGCCGGCGACCGGCGCACGGGUGAGUAACGCGUAUGCAACUUACCUAUCAGAGGGGGAUAACCCGGCGAAAGUCGGACUAAUACCGCAUGAAGCAGGGAUCCCGCAUGGUAAUAUUUGCUAAAGAUUCAUCGCUGAUAGAUAGGCAUGCGUUCCAUUAGGCAGUUGGCGGGGUAACGGCCCACCAAACCGACGAUGGAUAGGGGUUCUGAGAGGAAGGUCCCCCACAUUGGUACUGAGACCCGGACAAUACUCCUACGGGAGGCAGCAGUGAGGAAUAUUGGUCAAUGGCCGAGAGGCUGAACCAGCCAAGUCGCGUGGGGGAUGAAGGUUCUAUGGAUCGUAAACCUCUUUUAUAAGGGAAUAAAGUGCGGGACGUGUCCCGUUUUGUAUGUACCUUAUGAAUAAGGAUCGGCUAACUCCGUGCCAGCAUCCGCGGUAAUACGGAGGAUCCGAGCGUUAUCCGGAUUUAUUGGGUUUAAAGGGUGCGUAGGCGGCCUUUUAAGUCAGCGGUGAAAGUCUGUGGCUCAACCAUAGAAUUGCCGUUGAAACUGGGGGGCUUGAGUAUGUUUGAGGCAGGCGGAAUGCGUGGUGUAGCGGUGAAAUGCAUAGAUAUCACGCAGAACCCCGAUUGCGAAGGCAGCCUGCCAAGCCAUUACUGACGCUGAUGCACGAAAGCGUGGGGAUCAAACAGGAUUAGAUACCCUGGUAGUCCACGCAGUAAACGAUGAUCACUAGCUGUUUGCGAUACACUGUAAGCGGCACAGCGAAAGCGUUAAGUGAUCCACCUGGGGAGUACGCCGGCAACGGUGAAACUCAAAGGAAUUGACGGGGGCCCGCACAAGCGGAGGAACAUGUGGUUUAAUUCGAUGAUACGCGAGGAACCUUACCCGGGUUUGAACGCAUUCGGACCGAGGUGGAAACACCUUUUCUAGCAAUAGCCGUUUGCGAGGUGCUGCAUGGUUGUCGUCAGCUCGUGCCGUGAGGUGUCGGCUUAAGUGCCAUAACGAGCGCAACCCUUGCCACUAGUUACUAACAGGUAAAGCUGAGGACUCUGGUGGGACUGCCAGCGUAAGCUGCGAGGAAGGCGGGGAUGACGUCAAAUCAGCACGGCCCUUACAUCCGGGGCGACACACGUGUUACAAUGGCGUGGACAAAGGGAAGCCACCUGGCGACAGGGAGCGAAUCCCCAAACCACGUCUCAGUUCGGAUCGGAGUCUGCAACCCGACUCCGUGAAGCUGGAUUCGCUAGUAAUCGCGCAUCAGCCAUGGCGCGGUGAAUACGUUCCCGGGCCUUGUACACACCGCCC
rnacentral:rRNA from 1 species